CUCAAACUCCUGACCUCAGGUGAUCCACCCGCCUUGGCUGCCCAAAGUGCUGGGAUUACAGGCAUGAGCCACUGCACCCAACUCCUCUUUCGUCUUUCUUUAACACACACUAGGCUCUUUGUGUAUUAUGAUUCAGUGCUAUUUGUAACUGUGUCCCAGUGACCAAAUUGCACUCGACUCGAUCAGCUGUUCAUCCAUUUCGUGUUUUUUCCUGUCAAACAUUAAUCCAGCAAAUAUAUGAGGUAUUUACCAAUUUAUUUUCUUAGUAUUACAAAAUAAUUCAUUAGCAUAAAGUACAAUAGUGAAAUAUUUGAGUUGUUCGGAACCUCAAUUAAUCCUGUUUUACAUUUCAGACCUAAAGCUGGCAAUCAGGAGAAGAAGCACUUUGUUUUAAAUGUGGAGAAGAUAACACUUGAUUCCAUUUCAUUGUCAUUAGUGUAUUAACCAGCAGGAGAGGUGAUGAGCCAUUUUUCAAAUGAAAUACCUUUUAUUUCCAUAUAAUUUUUUUAUUUUAGAGUUCAAUAGCUGUUUCUAUGAUUAUCCUCAAUUUCCAUAUGUUACUGAAUCUGAAAAACAUCUUUAAAAUUCAAACAGUUCCAUUUUCUCUCUUGUAAGUGUUAAAUGUGAUAAAAGUACAUAUUUUAAAUUGUUUUCAGCUCUUGGAUAUAGCAGCAAUAAAAACACUAAUUUGUGGGUAUUUAAGAAAACCUGGAGAAU
rnacentral:lncRNA from 1 species